rnacentral:rRNA from 1 species
AUUGAACGCUGGCGGCAGGCCUAACACAUGCAAGUCGAACGAGUGGCGGACGGGUGAGUAAUGUCUGGGCAACUGCCUGAUGGAGGGGGAUAACUACUGGAAACGGUAGCUAAUACCGCAUACCAUCGGAUGUGCCCAGAUGGGAUUAGCUAGUAGGUGGGGUAAAGGCUCACGUAGGCGACGAUCCCUAGCUGGUCUGAGAGGAUGACCAGCCAGAUGGGAACGGAGACACGGUCCAGACUCCUACGGGAGGAAGCAGUGGGGAAUAUUGAACAAGGGGGGCAAGCCUGAUGCAGCCAUGCCGCGUGGAUGAAGAAGGCCUUCGGGUUGUAAAGUACUUUAAGCGGGGAGGCGUUACCCGCAGAAGAAGCACCGGCUAACUCCGUGCCAGCAGCCGCGGUAAUUC